GACGUAGGGUGCAAGCGUUGUCCGGAUUUAUUGGGCGUAAAGAGCGCGUAGGCGGCCGAGUAAGUCCGACGUGAAAUCUGGAGGCUCAACCUCCAGCGGUCGUUGGAAACUACUCGGCUAGAGUCCGGAAGAGGAGAGUGGAAUUCCUGGUGUAGCGGUGAAAUGCGCAGAUAUCAGGAAGAACACCGAUGGCGAAAGCAGCUCUCUGGGACGGUACUGACGCUGAGGCGCGAAAGCGUGGGGAGCGAACAGG
rnacentral:rRNA from 1 species